CCAGCCGCGAGCCCCGCGAGCCCCGCGGCCCGGGCCGCCCUCGGGACAGGGCGUCGCCGCUGCAGCCGCCGCUUCGGGAGCCGGCCUUGCAAGUUAAAGGAGCUAUAACACUGGUCAGUGGGAAAGGCAGAUUGGAGUCACCAAAGCUUGGGUUUGGGUCCCUGUUGUGCUGUUUAUCAUCCAUGUAACGUCAGCAAAGGCUCGCAACCUCUAAACCCUCCAUUUCCUGAGCUGUAAAAGAGGCCUAAUGAUGCCAGCCUUCGGAUGUUAUAGGGGAGUGCACAGUCAUGGUGAGCCAGCUCCUGCCGCUCACAUCUCAGUUUCCGGGCUCGUGCUCUGCAUCAGGCACUGCUGGCUUGAUGGCUAAUGCUUAUAGAAAUGCUUAUAGAGGGGACCCAGCACUCCUGUGGUUUCUUAAAGCAGAUGAAAAUUCACAUAUCAGCCAGCCUUUUUUUUUUUUCUUUGAGAGAGAGAUUUUCCCUAUCAAUGUGAUGUUUUCAACCUGAGCCUUCCAAAGGUGGUGUUCGCCCUGAGGUGGUG
rnacentral:lncRNA from 1 species